CUCCUACGGGAGGCAGCAGUGGGGAAUAUUGGACAAUGGGGGGAACCCUGAUCCAGCCAUGCCGCGUGUGUGAAGAAGGCCUUAUGGUUGUAAAGCACUUUAAGCGAGGAGGAGGCUACUUUAGUUAAUACCUAGAGAUAGUGGACGUUACUCGCAGAAUAAGCACCGGCUAACUCUGUGCCAGCAGCCGCGGUAAUACAGAGGGUGCAAGCGUUAAUCGGAUUUACUGAGCGUAAAGCGCGCGUAGGCGGCUAAUUAAGUCAAAUGUGAAAUCCCCGAGCUUAACUUGGGAAUUGCAUUCGAUACUGGUUAGCUAGAGUGUGGGAGAGGAUGGUAGAAUUCCAGGUGUAGCGGUGAAAUGCGUAGAGAUCUGGAGGAAUACCGAUGGCGAAGGCAGCCAUCUGGCCUAACACUGACGCUGAGGUGCGAAAGCAUGGGGAGCAAACAGGAUUAGAUACCCUGGUAGUCCAUGCCGUAAACGAUGUCUACUAGCCGUUGGGGCCUUUGAGGCUUUAGUGGCGCAGCUAACGCGAUAAGUAGACCGCCUGGGGAGUACGGUCGCAAGACUAAAACUCAAAUGAAUUGACGGGGGCCCGCACAAGCGGUGGAGCAUGUGGUUUAAUUCGAUGCAACGCGAAGAACCUUACCUGGCCUUGACAUAGUAAGAACUUUCCAGAGAUGGAUUGGUGCCUUCGGGAACUUACAUACAGGUGCUGCAUGGCUGUCGUCAGCUCGUGUCGUGAGAUGUUGGGUUAAGUCCCGCAACGAGCGCAACCCUUUUCCUUAUUUGCCAGCGAGUAAUGUCGGGAACUUUAAGGAUACUGCCAGUGACAAACUGGAGGAAGGCGGGGACGACGUCAAGUCAUCAUGGGCCCUUACGGCCAGGGCUACACACGUGCUACAAUGGUCGGUACAAAGGGGUUGCUACACAGCGAUGUGAUGCUAAUCUCCAAAAGCCGUCUCAGUUCGGAUUGUUCUCUGCAACUCGAGAGCAUGAAGGCGGAAUCGCUAGUAAUCGCGGAUCAGCAUGCCGCGGUGAAUACGUUCCCAGGCCUUGUACACACCGCCCU
rnacentral:rRNA from 1 species